rnacentral:rRNA from 1 species
AGAGUUUGAUCAUGGCUCAGGAUGAACGCUAGCUACAGGCUUAACACAUGCAAGUCGAGGGGCAGCAUGGUCUUAGCUUGCUAAGGCCGAUGGCGACCGGCGCACGGGUGAGUAACACGUAUCCAACCUGCCGUCUACUCUUGGACAGCCUUCUGAAAGGAAGAUUAAUACAAGAUGGCAUCAUGAGUUCACAUGUUCACAUGAUUAAAGGUAUUCCGGUAGACGAUGGGGAUGCCGUUCCAUUAGAUAGUAGGCGGGGUAACCGGCCCACCUAGUCUUCGAUGGGAUAGGGGUUCUGAGAGGGAAGGUCCCCCACAUUGGAACUGAGACACCGGUCCAAACUCCUACGGGGCGCAGCAGA